rnacentral:rRNA from 1 species
AGUGAACGCUGGCGGUAGGCCUAACACAUGCAAGUCGAACGGCAGCACAGUAAGAGCUUGCUCUUACGGGUGGCGAGUGGCGGACGGGUGAGGAAUACAUCGGAAUCUACUUUUUCGUGGGGGAUAACGUAGGGAAACUUACGCUAAUACCGCAUACGACCUACGGGUGAAAGCAGGGGAUCUUCGGACCUUGCGCGAUUGGAUGAGCCGAUGUCGGAUUAGCUAGUUGGCGGGGUAAAGGCCCACCAAGGCGACGAUCCGUAGCUGGUCUGAGAGGAUGAUCAGCCACACUGGAACUGAGACACGGUCCAGACUCCUACGGGAGGCAGCAGUGGGGAAUAUUGGACAAAGGGCGCAAGCCUGAUCCAGCCAUACCGCGUGGGUGAAGAAGGCCUUCGGGUUGUAAAGCCCUUUUGUUGGGAAAGAAAAGCAGCAGGUUAAUACCCCGCUGUUCUGACGGUACCCAAAGAAUAAGCACCGGCUAACUUCGUG